AUAAGUUAUGAUCAAUAGGUUGUAUUUUUUAAUUAAUUUUUAUAAAAACUGCUAUUUUUGGAAAGUAGUCAUUUUUAGCGAACUAUUGGUAGAAUUGAGAUUCUGAUAUAGAAAUUAAGAUAACAAGAAUUUUUGUUGAUAUAUGAGUAUUUUUUUAGAGUUUUUGAUCAAUAUGUUGUUUUUUAGUAAUAUUUUUAAAACGGCUAGUUUUGGAAAGUUAUAAUUUUUAGAGAACUAUUGUAGAUUUGAGAUUUUGAUUUAGAAAUUAGGAUAACAAUAAUUUUUGUUGAUAGAUGAGUAUUCUUUCAUAAGUUAUGAUCAAUAAGUUGUAUUUCUUAAUUAAUUUUUAUAAAAACUACUAUGUUUGGAAAUUUAUCAUUUUUAGCGAACUAUUGGUAGAUUUGAGAUUCUGAAUUAGAAAUCUGGAUAGUACUAAUUUUUCUUGAUAGAUAAGUAUUCUUGUAUAAUUUUUGAUCAAUAGGUUGUAUUAUUUAAAUAAAUUUUUCAAAACUGCUAUUUUUGGAAAGUUAUCAUUUUUAUAAUUGUAAAUUUGGGGUUGUGAUUUAGAAAGUAGGAUAACAAGAAUAUUUGUUGAUAUAAAAGUAUUCUUUUAAAUUUUUGGUCAAUGGGUUGUAUUUUUAAAUGGCUAUUUUUAGAAAGUUAUCAUUUUUUAGAAAACUAUUGUAGAUUUGAGAUUCUGAUUUAAAAAUUAGGAUAAUAAUAAUUUUUUUUAUGUAUGAGUAUUUUUGGAAAGUUAUCAUUUUAAGAGAACUAUUUAUUGAUUUGAGAUUUUAAUUUAGAAAUUAGGAUAACAAUAAUAUUUGUUGAUAGAUGGGUAUUCUAUUAGAUUUUUUGAUCAAUAGGUUAACAUAUUUUGAGAGAACUACUGUAGAUUUGAGAUUUUUUUUUAUGGACAACAAACUAAGGU
rnacentral:lncRNA from 1 species